UCCGAAAUAACUCAGUCGGUAGAGUAUCUGGCUGUUAACCAGAGAGUCGCAGGUUCGAGCCCUGCUUUCGGAGCCA
rnacentral:tRNA from 1 species